AUGGCUCAUUAAAUCAGUUAUCGUUUAUUUGAUAGUACCUUACCACUUGGAUAACCGUGGUAAUUCUAGAGCUAAUACAUGCUAAAAACCCCGACUUCGGAAGGGGUGUGUUUAUUAGAUAAAAAACCAAUGCCCUUCGGGGCUCUUUGGUGAUUCAUGAUAACCUAACGGAUCGCAUGGCCUUGCGCCGGCGACGGUUCAUUCAAAUUUCUGCCCUAUCAACUUUCGAUGGUAAGGUAUUGGCUUACCAUGGUUUCAACGGGUAACGGGGAAUUAGGGUUCGAUUCCGGAGAGGGAGCCUGAGAAACGGCUACCACAUCCAAGGAAGGCAGCAGGCGCGCAAAUUACCCAAUCCCGACACGGGGAGGUAGUGACAAUAAAUACUGAUACAGGGCUCUUUUGGGUCUUGUAAUUGGAAUGAGUACAAUUUAAACCCCUUAACGAGGAACAAUUGGAGGGCAAGUCUGGUGCCAGCAGCCGCGGUAAUUCCAGCUCCAAUAGCGUAUAUUAAAGUUGUUGCAGUUAAAAAGCUCGUAGUUGAAACUUGGGUCUGGCUAGCGGGUCCGCCUCACCGCGUGCACUUGUCCGGCUGGACCUUUCCUUCUGGAGAACCUCAUGCCCUUCACUGGGUGUGUUGGGGAACCAGGACUUUUACUUUGAAAAAAUUAGAGUGUUCAAAGCAGGCCUUUGCUCGAAUACGUUAGCAUGGAAUAAUAGAAUAGGACGUGCGGUCCUAUUUUGUUGGUUUCUAGGAUCGCCGUAAUGAUUAAUAGGGAUAGUCGGGGGCAUCAGUAUUCAAUUGUCAGAGGUGAAAUUCUUGGAUUUAUUGAAGACUAACUACUGCGAAAGCAUUUGCCAAGGAUGUUUUCAUUAAUCAGUGAACGAAAGUUAGGGGAUCGAAGACGAUCAGAUACCGUCGUAGUCUUAACCGUAAACUAUGCCGACUAGGGAUCGGGCGAUGUUUCUAUCUUGACUCGCUCGGCACCU
rnacentral:rRNA from 1 species